rnacentral:rRNA from 1 species
CACGUAGGGUGCGAGCGUUGUCCGGAAUUAUUGGGCGUAAAGAGCUCGUAGGCGGUGUGUCGCGUCGGCCGUGAAAACCUGCAGCUUAACUGUGGGCUUGCGGUCGAUACGGGCAUCACUGGAGUUCGGCAGGGGAGACUGGAAUUCCUGGUGUAGCGGUGAAAUGCGCAGAUAUCAGGAGGAACACCGGUGGCGAAGGCGGGUCUCUGGACAGUUCCUGACGCUGAGGCGCGAAGGCCAGGGGAGCAAACGGG